GGAGGAGGAGGAGGAGGAAGAAGACGAUUACGGCGAAAUCGAUGAAGAUGAUGAAGAAGAAGAAGAGCGAGAGCGAAGGCCAGUAACUGAAGAAUCUCGAGUGCGUUCCGAUAGGGCUAAAAUGGAGAAUUUAUUCCGGCGGCUGUCGUCUGAGAGAGUGCCAAUAAGAGUCCAUGAUGUGAUUAUCCAAGGGAAUACUAAGACUAAGGAAUCACUUAUUGAGGCUGAAAUGGAAGCCCUAAAAAGUGCGACAACUCUUCAGGAGUUGCUUAAGGCUGCAAGUAUUGCAAAUGCGAGACUUCAGCAGCUUGAUAUUUUCGAUUCCGUUAAAAUUACUUUGGAUUCUGGUCCACCUGAGCUGCCUGGGACUACAAAUGUGGUUGUUGAGAUUGUCGAGAGUGAGAAUCCACUUACUGGAAGUGUUGGAGUUUUCUCCAAGCCGGAGGCUAGAGCUUGGUCACUUGAAGGUUCCUUGAAGCUGAAAAACUUGUUUGGUUAUGGUGAUAUAUGGGAUGGGUCUUUGGCCUAUGGCUUGGACCUGACUUCAGAGGUCAGUGCUGGUGUGUCUCUGCCCAGAUUCAAAAAAUUGAUCACCCCUGUGACAGCUCGAUUAUCUCUUCUUUCCCAAGAUUGGCUGAAGUUCUCCUCGUAUAAAGAACGAGCUUUGGGACUUUCUCUUGGCCUACUGUCAUCCAGAAGCCAUGAUUUGUCCUAUAGUCUUGCUUGGCGAACCUUGGCUGACCCGUCACAAAUGUCAUCGAGAGCAGUGAGGAGACAGCUCGGGCAUAGCUUAAUUUCGGCUCUGAAGUAUACAUUCAAAAUUGAUAGGAGAAAUUCUCCUUUAAGACCAACCCGAGGAUAUGCCUUUCUGUCGUCUUCUCAAAUUGGUGGCCUCCUACCAGAUCAUCGAGGGUUACGCUUUCUCCGUCAGGAGUUGGACUUCCGCUAUGCUUUACCUCUGGGAUUUUAUAAUGCUGCUUUCAACAUUGGAAUUUCCGCUGGUGUAACUGUUCCAUGGGGAAGUGGGUUCUUAAGUCGUCCCACCUAUUUACCUGAGAAAUUUUUCCUGGGUGGUAAUUCUUCACCAGUUUGUGCACUGGGUGGCCCAUCAUCUCUGUUGGGCUUUAAGACCAGGGGAUUGGGGCCUGCUGAACCUAGAAGACAAGUUACAGAAAAUUCUAAUGAUGAGAGCUCUGAUGCAUCUUCUGCAAUAGAUUUUGUGGGAGGAGACCUUGCUGUUACUGCUUUUGCAGACCUUUCUUUUGAUCUACCACUGCGGGUAUUGAGAGAAGCUGGGAUUCAUGGCCAUGCUUUUGCUUGUACAGGAAGCCUGAAUAAAUUGACGGAAAAUGCGUAUAAAGAUCUAUCUUUACAGAAAUUCAAAGAAUCAUUCCGAGCUUCGGCUGGAUUUGGUGUCAUUGUCCCGACCAAGCUCUUCCGGAUGGAGGUUAAUUACUGCUAUAUACUGAAGCAGCAAGAGCAUGACCGAGGGAAGACUGGUGUGCAGUUCAGCUUCUCCUCAUCUUUUUAGAAGCUCAACAUUGCAUGUUCUGUUCCCAGCGAAUUGAUACGGCAUGGUUUCCUUCCGGUAAAAUUAACAUAAUUUCAUCCUCCGUUUCUCUGUUUUGUAUGAGAUGCAAAUUUAGCCGGCCCCAACAAGUACACUUCACUUUCAAACUCUGGACAAUUUUUCAAUCCACUGUUACAGGCAAAUAAUUGGUGGCAAGUUUAGCAUACAUUCAAUACAUUGAUUUUCAAUCCGCUGCCUCAAAAUUCGCCGUUUGUUAUUGGUGAUUCAUUUCUUAUUCUGGUAGUUCAGCUUUGAAAUUGAUGUUUUUGAUGUGCCUAUACACUUGUAUUAAGAAGAGGCUCACUCAAUAUAGAGGACCAUUAAAAAAAAUUUAACGGGCGACCUUACGAGUUGCGAUUUGCUUGUAGGAGUCCUUAAAGAGAGCUUUUUUCCUUCUGCUUGUGUUCAUUUCUGAAGCUUUUGGAAAUGAUGGUUAUCUACUUAAACCCCA
rnacentral:misc_RNA from 1 species